CCUACGGGGGGCAGCAGUGGGGAAUAUUGGACAAUGGGCGAAAGCCUGAUCCAGCCAUGCCGCGUGUGUGAAGAAGGCCUUCGGGUUGUAAAGCACUUUCAGUGGGGAAGAAAGCCUUGGGGCUAAUACCCUCGAGGAAGGACAUCACCCACAGAAGAAGCACCGGCUAACUCCGUGCCAGCAGCCGCGGUAAUACGGAGGGUGCGAGCGUUAAUCGGAAUUACUGGGCGUAAAGCGCGCGUAGGCGGUCUGAUAAGCCGGUUGUGAAAGCCCCGGGCUCAACCUGGGAACGGCAUCCGGAACUGUCAGGCUAGAGUGCAGGAGAGGAAGGUAGAAUUCCCGGUGUAGCGGUGAAAUGCGUAGAGAUCGGGAGGAAUACCAGUGGCGAAGGCAGCCUUCUGGACUGACACUGACGCUGAGGUGCGAAAGCGUGGGUAGCAAACAGGAUUAGAUACCCCAGUAGUC
rnacentral:rRNA from 1 species